rnacentral:rRNA from 1 species
AACGAACGCUGGCGGCAUGCCUAACACAUGCAAGUCGAACGAAGUCUUCGGACUUAGUGGCGCACGGGUGAGUAACGCGUGGGAACCUGCCCUUCGGUACGGAAUAACGUCGGGAAACUGACGCUAAUACCGUAUAUGUCUCUGGAUGAAAGAUUUAUCGCCGGAGGAGGGGCCCGCGUCCGAUUAGCUAGUUGGUGAGGUAAUGGCUCACCAAGGCGACGAUCAGUAGCUGGUCUGAGAGGAUGAUCAGCCACACUGGGACUGAGACACGGCCCAGACUCCUACGGGAGGCAGCAGUGGGGAAUAUUGGACAAUGGGGGCAACCCUGAUCCAGCAAUGCCGCGUGAGUGAUGAAGGCCUUCGGGUUGUAAAGCUCUUUUGGCAGGGACGAUGAUGACGGUACCUGCAGAAUAAGCCCCGGCUAACUUCGUGCCAGCCGCCGCGGUAACAC